rnacentral:rRNA from 1 species
UACAGAGGUCUCAAGCGUUGUUCGGAUUCAUUGGGCGUAAAGGGUGCGUAGGCGGCAGCGCAAGUCAGGUGUGAAAUCCCGGGGCUCAACCCCGGAACUGCACUUGAUACUGCGUUGCUAGAGUACUGGAGAGGAGACUGGAAUUUACGGUGUAGCAGUGAAAUGCGUAGAUAUCGUAAGGAAGACCAGUGGCGAAGGCGAGUCUCUGGACAGUUACUGACGCUGAGACACGAAGGCCAGGGGAGCAAACGGG